AUGGACACUGCAGCUAGUGAUGCAGCGGAGCCUGUGGUCAGACCCAAGAGACAAAGUAAACCACCUUCACAUCUGAGUGACUAUGAGGUUGGCUACAUACCCCCAGUGGACCCUCCUCCAAUCUCUUCUUCUCGCUGUCACAGCCAACAUAAGAGCCAAUCGAGGAAAACGUCCCACAGUAAAGCCAGCUCUCAUUCCAGAUCCAGUGGUCAUUCCAUUAUCUCUGGUGUGCAAGCUACUUCUGCACUCACAAGCAGUCAGGCAGCCAUGGUGGAUGAGAGAAUCAAGCAGAGGCAGUAUGACAACCUACUUCAGCAGAUAGAGGAGGACACGUUGGCAGAAAUAGAAUAUCAGAGACUGCAAACACAAGCUAAAGAGGCUCAACGUGUUCAGGAAGAGGCUCUCAUGGCAAAGGAAGCACUAACUAACCAAUUAGAACGACGACGUAAGCUAAAAAAGGCAGAGACUGACCUAGAAGUGGCCAAACUGGUGAAUUCUUUGCUCAGCCAAGACUUGAGUGUGGACGAUGCAGGUCCUGAAGGAUCCCCAGACACAACCGUGCCACCAUCGCAGUUACUUCAUGCCAGCCCAGUCCAGUCUCCUGUACCUCAGCAAUUUCCCUGCCCCGUAUCAUCCAUGAUCCAAGCCACGCAGACUGUAUCAGAGGCACAGAGCAUAGAUCAGUCACUCAAAAAUCCUCCAUUGACAUUACAAGCAACUAUGCCCUUACAAGUUCCAGCUUACACCGCACAGUUGUCCGCAUGUACAGUCACUCAAACCCAAGGAAGAUCACAAGUAGCACAUUAUGAGGAGAAUAUGUCACAUGUCUUGCAGCAGCCAAGCCCAGUCUCAAUACCACUACCUCCAUUCAGCCCUGUGCAACAAGCAGCGACUCAGCUUGCGACACCAUACACAGGUAGUGUUCUGAUAUCACAGACUAAACCUCCUGUUGCACCAAUUGCAUCAACCUCACAUGUGAAUACACCAUUACCAAGGCAGUCAGCCCCUCUUAUGAGUCAGAAUCAGCCUAUUCCAACCACUCAUCAUAGAGCACCUCUCUUAUCUAACACACCCAUCUGCCCUCAACCAUAUUCACCUCUACCUGUUCCUCAAGCUGGUUACAUACCCCAACCCGGGACAGAACUUCUGAUGGCAGCAGCCUAUGGCAUUCCUCGCCCCACACUACCAGUGUUUGAGAGUGGCACUGAAAGUGACUUUGCCUUGUUGAAGUUGGCCUUAGAUAAUCUCUUAAGUCACCAUACCCACAUCAGCGAGCAGUACAAAUAUCAAGUGUUGCUGAGUCACCUGAAAUUUGCUAGUGCCCAACAACUGGCUAAAGCAUAUAUGCACCACCCACAGCCAUACACCACAGCCUUGCAAGCUUUGCAGGAGAAGUAUGGCCAGCCCAGGCAGCUUGUGCAAUCUGAGUUAGGUGCAAUCAUGAGUACACCACCCCUUAAAAUGGGUGAUUCCAAUGCAUUUGACUCAUUCGCCUUAUCUGUCCAAUCCCUAGUAGGCAUGCUGAGAACACUGGAAGGUCAAAAUGGGUAUGAGCUCAUGUGUGGUUCUCACGUAGACCGCCUUCUGAGUAAACUGCCACCUGCUUACCGAGACGGCUUCGUAGAAUACUGCCUGAGCCAUGGAAUUCUACAAACUGGUACAGACAGAACCUAUACUCUCCCCGACUUCGCAUCCUGGUUACAAACGAAGUCACAAGCUAAACGUAUCUCAAGCCGAGCAGCCGCUGUAUUUCAGUCCGACACUACAAAGUCAACUGGGAAGAGUAAAUACACUCCAUAUCAUCGAGAGCGUUCAAUACCUAUACUUCUGACAUCAGAGAAAUCUGUCAAGCCUUCUGCACUGGCACAAGUAAAAGUCAUCUCCAAGCCAAAGCCCUAUUGUCCUCAUUGCGACAACCAAGAUCACUAUCUUAACUCCUGUGAUAAAUUCAAAAGGCUGACCACUGCACAGAUCAUCACCUGGAUCGCAGAGGGCAAACGUUGUUGGAAGUGUGGUCGGAAUCAUUCAGCUGACUCCUGUAACCUCAAGCGACCAUGUAAAGUCUGCAAAGAGCUUCACCUUACCGUGCUGCAUGACUCGAUUAAUGACACCUCCAGAGCAGUGCUUAUGGUGAGCCUACCAUCGACACAGAUCUAUCUAGAUAGACCCAACCGCUCACAGAAAGUCAUGCUAAGAGUUGUCAGAGUUCUCUUGCACAAUGGUGGCCAAACAAUGGAAGCUCACGCUGUCUUAGAUGACGGCUCUGAAAGAACUAUCGUCCUUCCCCAAGUGGUUCGACAGCUCAGGCUAAAUGGAGCUCCAGAAGUUCUUCCCUUGCAGACAAUCCACCAGAGCCAUACCAAACUUGAUGGGUCCACAGUAACUUUUGAGGUGUCUUCUCUCACCAAACCUACAGAGAGGUAUGUCAUUCGAAACGCCUUUACUGCCUCUGGUUUAAGCCUUGCUGAACAUACUUACCCUGUGGCAGCACUCCAGAAAGCAUAUCGCCACUUGAGAGGUCUACCCUUACAGCCAGUUGACAACGUCAAACCCUUACUCCUCAUAGGGUCUGAUAUGCCACACCUCCUGACGCCAGUUCAGCCAGUGCGAAGAGGAGCAGAGAGCAGCCCCAUUGCCAUAUGUACCAAGCUUGGUUGGGUACUGCAAGGCCCAAUGUGUCCAAUUCAGCCCCCUAAAGGUCUGCAACAAUGUUUGCAUAUUAUGACAGCCCCAACACGUGACGAGCUGUAUCAGCAUGUUGAGCGCUUGUGGCAAGUUGACACUGUUCCAUACAAUGAAAAGGUGAUAACAAGAUCGAAACAAGACCAACAGUGCUAUAACCUUUUGCAGACUGCCACUGUCAGAGUGAACGUGGAUGGUGUCCUGCGGUAUGCUACUCCACUGCUGAGGCGCACUCCUAUCACUUUGCUUAACGCAGGUAUGGAGUCUGUGCUCCCCAGCUUAAGAAACAUUGAGAGAAAACUGGCCAAGAAUCCUGAGCAAGCACAAGUUUACUGUUCUGAGAUUCAAAAGCUUGAAUCAGCAGGCUACAUUGCUAAGAUAGCACCAGAUGAGGUAGACAAGUCCACAGAGUCGUGGUUCAUUCCCCACCACAUAGUGCACCACAAUGGAAAGGAUCGAAUAGUCUACAACUGCUCCUUUCAGUACCAUGGUCAGAGCUUGAAUGAACAACUCCUUCCAGGGCCAACACUUGGGCCAUCUCUGUUGGGUGUGAUAUUGAGGUUCCGGCAACAUGCAGUUGCAGUGAGCGGGGACAUAAAAGGCAUGUUCCACCAAAGUACGUUUAUUACCUGGUGA
ensembl:lncRNA